rnacentral:lncRNA from 1 species
AGGGAAUUGGCUCUGUGCUGUGCAGGGAUUUCACUGCAUGAAGGCAACCUCCAUCUGUUCAGUGACACCAGCUUUCUAAGACUUUGCUGCUGCUGGAAAAGCAUCAGAGGCGCUGGCUCUCAAAUAUCGUUGUCGUCACUCCCUUGGGUUUAUUUCCUUUGAUUCUCCCACCUUUUCCUCAGUCAUGAUUUUAGUUGCAGAAAGCACUCUGAAGAGAUGCAUGAAAUGACUUUGAAGAACUCAUCCUGGUACCCACAAACGGUGGAAUGAAGAGAGACUAGAGCUACGAGGGAGCUGGAAGCCAUCUCAAGAGUGGCUAUCAGCAUGCAGAGAUUUCUACCAUGAGAAACAGAAGCUCUCCUACUUCAUUGUCUGUUGCAGUAAGAAAUGUAAAGAUACCUGCAAAUUUUCAAAGCCAGUUGAAGAACUGGAGUGU